rnacentral:misc_RNA from 1 species
GUGAAUCAUCAAAUUUUUGAACGCAAAUUGCACUCUCUUCGGAGAGUAUGACUGUUUGAGGGUCAGCCUAUUAAAAAUCGACAUCGUUGCUGUUUCGCGGUGGAGUUCGUCGGAAAUCGGGUCAUUUAUAAUCUUUUGGUUUUAUGAGACUUCAAAUUUUCUUUUUGGUUCGAUGCAUGUUUCUAAGAUUUCUUUCAUUAUUCGUUUUAGGUCUCGCUUUUUAUUAGACGUGCACAUUAU